UUCCUUCUGAAGCUUUGUUCAGGAGAGCUGGAAUGAAGCUGUUAUAUUCGGAGAAGCGAAUGAUUAGAGGAAUUGUGGGACGAAAUGUCUUCAAUCUCUUUUCAAACUUUCAAUGAGUAUGACGUCUCGUUUGCGUGAAUGAAACGUAGACAUUGAACGUGUAAUCACGUGGGUAUUUCUGAUAAGCGGAAAUGACGCGCUGUGAGAUGAAUCAAACGUUGAGUUGAAGUAUAAGUCUUCUGUUCAAACGUCAUCCAUUAUCAGAGCUAGUUGAUUCAGAACAGUAUUUAAUUCGCAUGAUUAUGAUAAUACAAAUA
rnacentral:ncRNA from 1 species